UACGUAGGGUGCGAGCGUUGUCCGGAAUUAUUGGGCGUAAAGGGCUCGUAGGCGGUCUGUCACGUCGGGAGUGAAAACACGGGGCUUAACCCCGUGGCCUGCUUCCGAUACGGGCAGACGUAGAGGUAUGCAGGGGAGAACGGAAUUCCUGGUGUAGCGGUGAAAUGCGCAGAUAUCAGGAGGAACACCGGUGGCGAAGGCGGGUCUCUGGGCCGUAACUGACGCUGAGGAGCGAAAGCAUGGGGAGCGAACAGG
rnacentral:rRNA from 1 species